rnacentral:rRNA from 1 species
AUUUAUCGGCAAGAGAUGAGCCCGCGUUGGAUUAGCUAGUUGGUGGGGUAAAGGCCUACCAAGGCGACGAUCCAUAGCUGGUCUGAGAGGAUGAUCAGCCACAUUGGGACUGAGACACGGCCCAAACUCCUACGGGAGGCAGCAGUGGGGAAUAUUGGACAAUGGGCGCAAGCCUGAUCCAGCCAUGCCGCGUGAGUGAUGAAGGCCCUAGGGUUGUAAAGCUCUUUCACCGGAGAAGAUAAUGACGGUAUCCGGAGAAGAAGCCCCGGCUAACUUCG